CUUGAAAGUAAUCAAACUCAAGAUGACACCCAAUCGGAGUCGGACGGCAACCGACACCGAGAGAUGAGAUUAUGUGAAAAAAAGCUGCAUUUAACGAUGUCGAGACCUUGGGUAAUGGUUUUUCUUCUCUUGUUAAUUGUAUUUACAUCGCAGUUUGAGUGGAAGCAACAAUUUGGGAGUGAUAUUGAAGCCACACCAGCCAUUUCACGGAAGGAGCAAUUUAUUUUGAAACGGGAAGAAGCUGUCAAAGAAAAGAUCAUCCUUUCACAAGAAAAGAAUAUUCAUAAACUUAAUGAGCUUGUCCGAAGUCUUCGAGAACAGUUGCUACAGUGUAGAAGUGAAAACUUUGUUGCAAAUGGCACAACAAUCCCUGUGACUGAACAUUUAAAUGAGCUUGAGCAGCAAGCAAUAUUG
rnacentral:misc_RNA from 1 species